rnacentral:sRNA from 1 species
AAAAUCAUGGCUACUUUUGGCAUUUUGUCUAGUUUUGAUCAUUCCAUACAAGAAUGGAAAGCGUAUAAAAGUAGACUAUCACAGUGGUUUAUCGCGAAUGAUAUCGACGAGAAAUCUGAUGCGACGGGAAAAGACGAGCAAUUUUGCUGAGCGCACUCACGGAAGCCACCUACAAAUUGGCUUCAGACCUCGCCUUACCUAAGGAUCUACAAGACGUUCCUUAUGAAGACAUAAUCAAGAUACUUGAUGAUCACUUUACACCCAAAAAGUGCGGGUUUAGUGAGCGGCAAAAGUUUUACUCCUCUGUACAACAACAGGGUGAAACACAUCAGCAGUGGGCAGCGCGAUUGCGGGGACUUACUGCUGACUGCGGAUUCACCAACGUGGAGGAAAUACUGCGCGAUCGAUUUGUCUUGGGGAUGCUGGCUGGACCCGAAAAGGAGAAAUUGUUUAGCCACGACAUGAAAUCCUUAACAUUGGCGAAGGCAGUACAAGUAGCUGGGAGCAUACGGUCUGCACAGGCUGGUGCCGCGGCCACAGCCGUUCUCGAGCGCACGACGCCACAGGUGUUCCAGAUCAAGCGCCGCGAGGGCGAAGGCAACGGAACACCUCAUACGGGAAAAGAAAAGUGUUCAGUGUGCGGUCGUUCUAAUCAUAAUUCUACCCAGUGCCGGUUUAUUAACUAUAAAUGCAAGAAGUGUUUUAAAAAAGGUCAUUUACGUAAUGUGUGCAAAGAAAUUAAAUAUAUGGGGGUAGGAGAUGUGAAUGAGGACGAUGACGAUGACGGUAAGUUACUGAACAUUCGCUCGCUGCGUGGAGAACCUAUGACGGAGGUUGUAAUCAUAGGCGGCAUUAAGUUAAGAUUUGAAGUUGACACAGGAUCGGCCGUGACGGUUAUUAAUGAAAAAACAUAUCGUCAAUAUUUCAGUAACAUACCAUUGUCAAAUACCGUAAAGAAAUUAUUAUCGUAUACAGGUAGUGUCAUGAAAUGUUCGGGGGUAAUAAAUGUUCCCAUAGAAUACGAUGGAAAGCAACUUCCCAUUGACAUUUACAUAAUACGAGAUGGGGGUCCGCCUUUGCUAGGCCGUGAUUUUCUCAGUGCUUUUCAAUUACAACUCAAUUCUUGUAAUUUUAUUAAUAAUUCCAAACCCGACGUUAUUAAUUUACAAAAACGAUUUCCUCGGGUAUUUUCAGACAAACUAGGUAAGUUUAACAAAUACGAAAUAAAACUGAGAUUAAAAAACGACGCUAAACCUAUUUAUUUUAAGGCACGCCCGAUAGCCUUCGCAUUGCGUAACAAAGUAGAUAACGAAAUAGAUCGCUUAGUAAGUUUAGGUAUCCUGAAACCGGUCGAACACGCAGAAUAUGCGUCGCCUAUUGUUCCGGUGCUAAAACGCGACGGGUCCGUCAGAAUAUGCGCCGAUUACUCCGUGUCAAUAAAUAAACAACUUUUGGUAGAACAAUAUCCAUUGCCUACUGUUAAUGAGUUAUUCGCCAAGCUGUAUGGAGGCCAACAAUUCUCCAAGUUAGACCUCUCUAUGGCUUAUAAUCAGUUUGUAUUAGACAAAGAAUCACAGUGUAUAACUUGUAUAAAUACACACCGGGGUCUUUUUGUAUACACGCGUAUGGUAUUUGGCCUUUCAAGUGCGCCGGCAAUCUUUCAAAGGGCUAUGGAGUCGAUUUUAUCGGGUGUUGACGGCGUGUUAUGUUUAUUGGACGACGUCUUAAUUACAGCCGACAACAGCAAAUUGCAUUUAGAAAGACUCCACAUUGUUCUGCAAAGAUUACAAGACGCGGGACUCAUUUUACAAAAAGAUAAGUGUGAGUUCUUUAAAGAUGAAAUCAAUUAUUUAGGAUAUGUAAUUAAUAAAAAUGGUUUAAAAAAGUCACCGGAUAAGGUUAAAGCAAUUUUAAGCGCUCCGGUACCGGAUAAUGUAAAUAAGUUACAAUCUUUUUUAGGCCUGGUUAAUUAUUACAGAAAUUUUGUUCCCGACGCUUCCAGUAUUUUAAGUCCUUUAUAUGAGUUAUUAAAAAAGGAUAUCAAAUGGACUUGGAGUAAAAGCCAUAACGAAGCAUUCUGUAAAAUAAAAAAUAUUAUCAUCGGACAAAGUUCUUGCACAUUACAAUCCUCAGUCUAAACUAAUUUUAACAGUAGAUGCCUCGCCAAAUGGAUUAGGGGCAGUAUUGUCUCAAGUAGGGAAAGACGGCGCGGAAAGGCCAUUAUCAUUUGCAUCGCGUACUUUAAAUUCGGCAGAAAAGCGCUAUGCGCAGAUACAAAAAGAGGCAACUGCGAUAGUUUUCGGCGUAAAACGAUUCCAUCAAUAUUUAUAUGGGCGGGCAAAUCCUUUUAUAUUACGCACCGAUCACAAGCCACUUGUCACUAUAUUUGGACCGCACAAAGGUAUUCCCGAAGUAUCGGCAAACAGGCUGCAAAGAUAUGCAAUUUUUCUUAAUGCAUAUAAUUAUGUUAUCGAGUACAUUCGUAGUGCCGAUAACUGUGCGGACUAUUUGUCUCGCGCGAGCCUCCCCGAAGUCGGUGACGGCGGAGGGCAAGAGCAUGAUCCGGCCGCCUCGGCCGCUGUGCCCGCCGCUGUAGACGACCGAGCAGCAUACGUAAACUUUGUUUUUGAGGGUAAUUUGCCGAUAACCUUAAAUCAAUUACGCGAACAUACGCGAAAGGAUAUUACUUUAUGUAAAGUUAUACAAUACGUUUUACAGGGCUGGCCUAGGAAAAUAGAUAAUAUAGGUUUAAAACCUUAUCAUAAAUGUAGACUUCAGUUGGCUUUUGAAAAUGGGUGCCUUAUGAAGGGUCACAAAGUUGUCAUACCCCAAGCUCUGCAGAGUACUGUAUUAAAUGAAUUACACCACUCUCAUCUGGGUAUAGUAAAAACAAAAAGCAGAGGCGCGUUCACGAUUUUGGUUCCCGAGCAUAGAUAAUGCACUGGAAAAAAUGAUAAGUGCAUGCAACAUUUGCAUUCAACUCAGACCAACACCGCCGCGUGCGCCCCUGGCAACAUGGCAAUUCCCACCGAAAAUAUUCUAUAGGGUACAUCUAGAUUUUUUAGGACCUAUUAAUAACCGGAUGUAUUUAAUUAUUGUAGACGCAUACUCCAAGUGGGUAGAAGUAUAUGACACAUCCAAUGCAUGUACUACGACUGUUGUAAUUGAAAAACUUUGCGAAUUUAUGUCUCGAUUUGGGGUCCCCCACACUAUAGUAAGUGACAAUGGAUUAGCUUUUACAUCACAAGAAUUCCAACAGCAUUGCUUACUCAAUGGUAUAACUCACAUAACAUCGCCGGCUUAUCACCCUGCGAGUAACGGGCAAGCAGAAAGCUAUGUGAAAAUAAUUAAGAAAGGCCUUCGAACCAGUUUACUGUCAUCGGAUAAUCAAAAAACCAGUAAAUUGAAUUUGUUAAAAUACUUAUUUCACUAUCGUAAUUCGGUACACUCUGUCACAGGCCUUUCUCCGGCUCAAAUAGUAUAUGGCGAAAAUCUUAGGUCACGUUUAGAUUUACUUAAUCCUAAGCCCGUACGGCCGUCCUCGUCGUCAAUCACAUCUCUUACUGACCGUGUUAAACAACAACAGUGCUCGCAGAAUAAGUACUAUGGCGGUAAAAAUAAACAGUGUUAUAGUGUUAAUGACAAAGUUUUAUACAAAAAAUAUUUUAAUGGUAAUAAGUUUGUUUGGUGCAAAGGAAUUGUUGUAAAAAGACUCGGAAAAGUUUUAUAUUUAAUUAAAGAUGUAGUGCAUUUAAAGUUAUUAAAAAAGCACAAAAACCAAAUUAUUUUGUUCCGAGGCGAUCAGGUUGCCCAAAGUUAUGACUACAUGGAUGGCGAUAACUACGAUGAAAGUGAGCAGUGCGCCACCGUCGCGCCUAACUCGCCCCCGACUGUGAGGGAAGAGGAACCGAGGCCGGAGGACGUGGACACGCGGUCAUUGUUGUCGUCACCUUCAAUAGAAAUGCCUCCCUCAAGGAGCACUGUUAGACUAUUGCGACCGAUUCCUAGAGUUAAUUAUAAGGUGUAAAAUUGUUAUUUUUAAAAGUAUAGUAUUAGUAUUUCUUUGUAUUGUGUCCUUUUGAAGGGGAGAAGGUGUUAUAUAUGUAGUUAUAAGUAUAGCGUGCUGCGUACACGCCCUUGUCGAUGGGCUAAUAAAUUAGUGCGUUAC